UAGUCAUAUGCUUGUCUCAAAGAUUAAGCCAUGCAUGUCUAAGUAUAAACUGCUUUAUACUGUGAAACUGCGAAUGGCUCAUUAAAUCAGUUAUAGUUUAUUUGAUGGUACUUACUUACUCGGAUACCCGUAGUAAUUCUAGAGCUAAUACGUGCGUACAUCCCGACUUCUGGAAGGGACGUAUUUAUUAGAUAAAAGGCCGACCGGGCCUGCCCGACUCGCGGUGACUCAUGAUAACUUCACGAAUCGCAUGGCCUUGCGCCGGCGAUGUUUCAUUCAAAUUUCUGCCCUAUCAACUUUUGAUGGUAGGAUAGAGGCCUACCAUGGUGGUAACGGGUGACGGAGAAUUAGGGUUCGAUUCCGGAGAGGGAGCCUGAGAAACGGCUACCACAUCCAAGGAAGGCAGCAGGCGCGCAAAUUACCCAAUCCUGAUACAGGGAGGUAGUGACAAUAAAUAACAAUACCGGGCCUUUGGUCUGGUAAUUGGAAUGAGUACGACCUAAACACCUUAACGAGGAUCGAUUGGAGGGCG
rnacentral:rRNA from 1 species